AAGUCUGUUUAAUAUUCUAUUUAGUUUCGUAAAUUGUUUUAACUUGGGCUAUAAGUACGGCACUAUUACGUUAGUGAAAGGGAGGGUAGCCAUCUAUUCUACUGGACGAACUACUACACCUACACCUUUUAUCAGUGCGAGUGUGCGGUGCUCUGGGUGCAUAAUAGUGCAUAUUGCGACUGCGACGAGGGUUAGUGCCCUGGGCGUGCCCAAGGCAACGGCAGGACUAUAGCGGUACGUUACACUGCAUCACGUCCAUUCCCGGCCCAUGUUCCGACCGUUUCCGGAAAACACAUUCGAUAAAAUAUUGAAGUGAAUGAAAACUCCUGGUAAAAUUAAUAAAAGUAUCAAGAACGAUUGGAUAAGCUGCACAAGCGGAGAUCAUGCGAUGCUUGACGCUGGAGUCAAGGAGAGCGGCCGGCGCCGGCCACGCCCGCCCCCCGCCCGCGCCCCUCGCCGCACACCCUCGCACGCCUGCCCGCUGCACCAACACAUCGAUACAGACAAUUGUUAUUCGUUCUAUAUCCUGCUUUUGCUAUACCAUUAUCGGUCAUAAAUGCUGUAUUUAAUAGCAUCACUAGUCCGCUAAUCAUACACUCGACAAAGCAGAAGCUUAUUCUAACGAAUGUACUUAACAAUUUUUAUUUGUAAUAGCAAAUUCUAAAAACCAGUCGGGUGUGAAAGAUAAAUGCUAAUCAACUGUAUCACUUGGAAUUUUUAAUAGAUCAUAAAUAAAUGAGUAAGUGAUAAAAGGAUAACGAAUCACUCAGAGACAAACAGACAUCCGCGAUUGUUUCGCGGUAAUUUACACAUUAAUUAUUAAAUCAGAUCACAUUCUGAUCAUUACGGAUCUGUUUUGUGCUCGAUCACAACGAUAGAUACCUUUCCGGCUGACCAAAGCGGAUAUUUAUUAAAAUUAAUUAAUGCACUAAUUAAUAUACGGUUAUUUCUAAACUGUAAAGAAGGAAAAUGGAUUAGUUAGAAACGGAACGAAAUCUUAAUUAUUUGACGAACUCUUCAUAACUUUUAUGGUGGUCAUUAUACAGUACCUUUAAAGAAAACGCAUGGCCUUAAUUACACCAUAAAUCUUUUCCAGUGGAGUCACCGGUACCACAUGAGUCUACCCAAAUAUGUUCUGCGCUAACAAAAACGCAAGGAAUCAUUCUCAUCUUCACCACUUCAACAAACAAUAAGUAUAAAAUAACCAUAACUUUUGCGAACAGUGGCGAUACAUUUCUCUUCGUAUAAAAAUUAAGCCGUAAAAUUUAACGAUACGAUCUCACCAAAAAACUUAAGGUCCACUGAACAUAAUUUAUAAUAUUAUUUAUUUUUUUGCAAAAGAAAAGCCGUCGAAAGGGGCGCGAGGCAUGGUGAGUCGUGAAUCGACAUUCGAGCUGUCAAAAUACUGAGCCUCGGACCCGUUGGGCUCUUUGUGACGAGUCGGUUAUCAUCAAACGUCGAUCUGGAAUGGUGGCAGUCGGCGGGGAAAACGAGGCUGUUACAUCCGUUCUCUAAGGUCUUUGGCGACCACGCCUAGCUAAAAUGGUUGCAAUGCCUACAACUCGACUAUAAUACACGCUACUGCGCAUUCGAAGCCGUUCAUUUGGAGCUACUAAUCUACGAGUUUCGAACGCCCGCUCUAAAUAUAGCGCGCCCACUUGUUUUUUAUAUAGCGACAUUCUUAAUAUACGAUUAUUUCGUAAAAACGUUGCUGGAUGAAAAAGGAAAGAUUAUGAACAUUGUAAUAACAUCUGGUAUACCCUUUUCCAUUAGAGGUACUAAAGUAUUUCUAACUAGUAUGAAAUAUGUAUCAAAUUAAAAACUGCUAAGAAAAUAUUUGU